GCAUUUUGCUGUUAGCUUCUGAGAUAAGAAUGUCUUUUUUACUAGAAAGAACAGCCUAACAUCUUAAGCAGAGUGUUAUUUUGCCUAUGCUUUUGACUUUCUCUGCUGAUACCUUUGUUGAUGGUUCUUUGUAUGUAUUGCGGUGUAGGUUUUCCCAUUAAGUACAUGAAAUGAUAUUUUGGGAUGCUUUUCGGGAUUAUAACAAAAAAUAGGUAAUGCCUCUGGACUUGGGGUAAGAGUGCAACCUGUGAGUUAGACUCACUUCACAGGUUCUAAUCUUGCCGCAGAAAAAAAACUAGUAUUUAAGUGAUGAAGGUAGAGGAGCGGGCCACUAUCCACAGAGUUUCUAAUUGUAGACACUGGCCCUCGGGGAUUUCUCAGUAUAAAAAAAAUUUAACAGAUAACUACUAGUCUAAUUUUUACUAGAACAUUCAAGGGCAGAAUCUGUUUCUAUCACAAUAUAAUCUUGUGAGGUUUCUUAGAUUACUAAGGUUAUAGACAAGUGUAAAUGUAAUUACUUUGAUGUGUUUGUCUCACAAUAAAAAUGAUUAAUUGUCAAAAAACCCAUAGUAGUUAACCAGUCUAAAUAUAAAAUAUGUUUAAUGUGCUUGUCUCAUAGCAAAUGGUCAGUUGACAAUUAUAAUUUUAUGUGUGGAGAACUUUAAGCUUCCCAAAGAUAGAGACUAUCAAAUGCUUGGACUUAACAUAAGCAAAAGGUCUUGCCUUUCUAAUUGGUGCAAGCCCCUAGGUUCAUUAAUAAAUCAUGGCCUAGCUAGAGUUCUUGCUGAUAUGAAUUAUUACAUCAUGAACAUGAUGUAACUAAAGUUGGAGCAAUUGUAGACAGGGCCAUAGGUGCCACCUUUUCUCAUCUCCUUUCUAACCAUGAGCAUGCAUUAUUGGUCUUUCGUAUCAAGCCUGGCUUGGAAAGGGUGAGAAUAGCAUGCUAACUAAACAAGAGGAAAAUUUUCAUGUCAAACUUGUGUUGAGAGAAAAUUUGGAUGAUCGGGCAAGGGAUGCCCCUCUUCGCUUCACCUUUACCAGGAGAGAGAAUAACUUUCAAUUCUACUCCACCUAAACAAUAUAUUGAGUUGUGUGGCUUUUUCAUCGAAAAGUUUAAGUUGUUAGAGAGAACACACUUAUAUUUUCUUAAUUCAGCAAAGCCCCUCACUUGCUGGCUUGAAUCAUUUUCAUGUGUCAAGCAUUUAGAAAUUCUCUUUGACAACAGGUGGUGGUGAGAUUCGAACUAGGAUCUCUUCCUACUCUAAACUAUUUGAAGUUGUGUCACCAUCUCAUCUUAAAGCUAAAGUUAUUGGAGAUGAGUAAAGCACACACUUCUAUUUUCUGAAUUAUGUCUUCAACACUCUAUAUUUCUCCUCUUAUUAUUUCUGGCGGUGUAUGUACAUGCUGAACCAGUAUGCUGUUUUAGAGUUGUCCUUGUAGAGUGUUGACUAAUAGAGAUUUCAAGGAAGAUACUCAUCAUAUCAAGAUUUGAUCCUCUAAGAUCUUAGGAUAAUUGUUGUAAUCUAGAUAUCCUAUCUAUGAUUCUUUCUCUUUAUGUAGAAUAUAUGAUUUUGUACAAUCCUAGAUUUUAUGGGAUUUAGAUGAUUCUACUCAACAAUCUCCUAUGUAUAUAAAGCCAUGGAUAUGACAUAGAAAUGUGAAUGAAACUAUUCAAUUAUCUUAUUCCACAUGGUAUCAGAGCUUUAGGCUUAUUCCUAACCAUUUUAAUUUUAUUCACCCAGUCUUGAAAAGUCCUUUUUCCAGCUUUAUCUACCCAAAGGUUGAAACCAUUCAAAACCAUGUUUGGAAAGGUAAAUGAUCUAGUCACUGAAAGUGUUUCUGCAGCCAUAGAGAAUAACUUUACAGUUUCAACUGGAGAUUUGCAAAACAUUCAAGCCUUUUAUCGGUUGAAUGGAAAAAAUUACCUAAAAUGGGAUCAACUAGUUCGUACCUUUUUAAAGGGUAAAGGAAAAUUAUGACAUCUUCUUGGUACAUGACCAUCACGUUUGAUGCAUGGGAUGAACAAGAUGCAAUGGUGAUGUCUUGGUUAUGGAAUUCUAUGCUUCCGGAGAUCAAUGAUAGCGUUAUGUUUCUAAGUACCGCUAAGGAAAUUUAGGAUGCAGUGAAGGAAACGUACUCUAAAGUACAUGAUGCUGCCAGGAUCUAUGAAAUAAAAACAAAACUUUCUGCAACAAAACAUGGAGCUCGACCUGUCACUAAGUGGCAAGAAAUGGAUCAUUAUAAAUGCAUUCAAAUGUGUUGUAAAGAUGAUGCCAUGAUUCUGAAAAGAUUUAUUGAAAAAAAAAGGAUUUAUGAUUUUCUUACAGGACUAAAUGUAGAAUUUGAUGUUGUGCGAGUGCAAAUCUUAGGAAAAGAAGACUUGCCAUCAUUAAAUGAAACAAUGGUCAUUAUAUAGACAAAAGGACGGAGGGGUGUUAUGCUUGAAACUCAAAUUAAUGAUCAACUCUGGUAGCAAAAGGGACAAGUUCAAAAGAAUCCGAAGUUUCACAAUGGGAGAGCAUCGUCAAUCCUGCUGGUUCAUUCAAACCACCAAUCAAUAGGGACGAUCUUUACUGCACCUAUUGCAAAAAAUAUCGGCCCACCUGAGAUAGGUGCUAGAAACUCAAUGGUAGACGUCCAAACAUAAACACUAGUGGUGGAAAGCAGGCACAUAUAGCCAGCAACCCAGAGACUGAUAAAAAUCGAUGCUCGGCUUCAGAAGGUAGUUGUUCACUGGCCUUCACAGGUAUUUCUUCCUCCUUUAUUACUAGUGUUUCGGACAAACUUUCGCCAACGUGGGUGGUUGAUUCGGGGGCAACUGAUCAUAUAACCAGUUCAUCUCAUCUCUUUAUAUCAUAUUCCCCUUGCCCUAGCUAUGAAAAAAUAACUAUUGUUAAUGGUUCAGUUAUGAAAUUGUGAAAAAAGGAUUGUGAAAUUGCAAAACACAAACGUGUUACCUUUCCAAUUAGUUAUAAAAGAUGUAAGACUUCUUUUUCUCUUAUUCAUAGUGAUAUUUGGGAACCAUCUUCCAUUCCUAAUAUUCCUAAUAUUUCUGGUGCUAGAUGGUUUGUGUCAUUCAUUGAUGAUUGUACAAGAGUAGCGUGGAUCUAUUUGUUAAAGCAAAAAUCAGACGUCAGCCAAAUUCUUCCUACCUUUUUUAAUCUGAUCAAAGAUUUCGAUCUGAUAAUGCUACUUCAAUCAAAACCUCUCUGUUUUCUUCCAAAAAGAGGGAAUUAUUAAUGAAUCUUCAUGUGUCAAUACUCCUUAACAAAAUGGAAUAGCAGAGAGAAGAAACGGAUUGUUACUUGACAUUACUAGAUCACUAUUGUUUCACAAAGGGUUCCAAAACAGUAUUGGGGGGAAGCUGUCUAAACUGCUGCACACCUUAAUAACAGAAUACCAUCAAUAAUUCUGAACAUUAAAAACCCCUUGAUACUCGUAGGAAUUUCUUCCUGAAUUUUGAAAUUUCCAAUAAAUUGGUUCGUAGAAUCUUUGGCAAUGUUGCCUAUGUUCAUAUUCAUUUUCAUAAUAGAGGCAUAUUCAUUCUCAUGUUCAUAUGUUCCAUGUGCUCUUAAGUGUGCUUUCAUAGGAUAUUCUCCUACUUAAAGACGCUACAAGUGUUAUCAACCAUCAUCAAAGAAAUUCUUUGUUUCAGCUGAUUUCACAUUUGAUGAGAGUGAAUCAUUUUUUAGCCAUUCUUACAAUCAUGGGGACUCAUUGAAAGAAGAGGGACCUCUAGACUUGUUACUAUUUGAUUUGUCUAUUUCUAGUCGUGCCAAAUCCUUGUUUGAUUCACCAUUUCUUCGGUCACCCAAGAACCUAACGAGUCUCCUAAUCUUGAUAUAGAUAAUGGAAUUCUAGAAAAUAAUCUACCAUUGCAGGUUUAUUCUAGAAGAAAGAACCUAAUUGAUCAAAGUACUCAAAGGCAAUCAUCUCCUCGGGUUACUGCUCUUACUAACCAUCCCAAAUCUGUUGAACUAUCAAAAAUACCAAACCAAAUUGAUCAUGAAGAAGGGACUAACCAACCUAAUGACCUCGAUCUUCCCAUUGCACUCAGAAAAGGAACUCGAACUUGCACACAACACCUUUUGAGCCUUUAUGUGACAUAUCAAAACCUAUCCCCAAGUCAUAAAACUUUUCUUUGUAACCUCCACACAAUUCCUAUCCCUAGAAAUUUGUCUGAAGCUUUAGGAAACAAAGAGCGGGAGAAAGCUAUGAAGGUAGAAAUGGAAGCGUUGGAAAAAAUAAAACUUGAGAAAUUGUAGAAUUACCAAAAGGGAAAAAGUCUGUGGGGUGUAGAUAGGUGUUUACUGUGAAAUUAUUUGGAGACUUUUGCUCGAGUGGCAAAAAUCAAUACAGUAAGAAUCUUAUUAUCAUUGGCUGCAAUUUUUAAUUGGAACCUACAACAAUUUGAUGUGAAAAAUGCAUUUUUACAUGGAGACUUAGAUGAGGAGAUAGAUCUAUAUGGAGGUGGCUCCUAGUUUUGCAAGCAAGAAAGGAAUGGUGUGUAGACUGAAGAAGGCACUCUACGGAUUAAAGCAAUCACCUCGUGCAUGGUUUGGAAGAUUUACAAAGAUCAUGAUCAAGCUAGGGUAACAACAAAGUCAAGGAGACCACACCUUGUUCAUAAGACACUCAGAAACAAGAAAGGUAACAACAUUAUUAGUUUAUGUGGAUGACAUCAUAGUAACAAGUGAUGAUUCAGAGGAGGUACAAAAUCUAAAGAAGUGAGUACAUCAAAGAGCUCGGGAAAUUAAAGUAUUUUCUGGGAAUCGAAGUGGCACACUCGAAACAUUUCCCAACAAAAGUAUGUGCUCGAUUUGUUGAAAGAAAUAGGAAAAUUAAGGUGUAAACCAGUGGCGACACCAAUUGAAUAUGAUCAUAGAUUGAGCAAUGCUCCAGAAGAUUCUAUGGUAGAUAAAGGUAUGUAUCAAAGGCUUGUAGGGAAAUUGAUCUACUUGUCCCAUACAAGGUCGGCAUUGCCUUUACUGUGAGUGUUGUGAGCCAAUUUAUGCAUGAUCCUAGAGAAACACUUCUUAAAGCUAUCAACAGGUCUCUACAAUAGCCUAAAGGAACUCCAGGAAAAGGAAUACUAUUCAAAAGAGGAGGAGACAUAGUUUUAGAGGCUUAUACUGAUGCAGACUAUGCUGGUUCAUUAGUGGAUCAAAGGUCAUGUUCUGGAUAUUGCACUUUCUUAGGAGGAAAUCUGGUGACUUGGAGGAGUUAAAAACAAAAUGUAGUAGCCAGAUCAAGUGCAAAAUUUGAGUUUAGAUCUAUGGCUAUGGGAGUUUGUGAGCUAUUAUGGUAAAAGAUAGUCCUUGAUGAUUUGAAGAUAAGAUGGGUAGGACCAAUGAAACUAUAUUGUGACAAUAAAUCAGCAAUAAGUAUAACUCAGCAUGAAGCACAUUGAGGUAGAUAGACAUUUCAUUAAGGAGAAAUUAGAUAGUGGACUCAUUUGUACGCCAUUUGUAUCUACAAAAGAUCAGGUGACCGAUGUUGUUUUAACAGAAAGGCUGCCAAACAAUGUGUUUCAAGAUCUAAUAAGCAAGCUAGGAAUGGAAGAUAUCCAUUCACCUGUUUGAGGGGGAGUGUUGACUGAUAGAGAUUUUCAAGGAAGAUACUCAUCAUAUCAAGAUUUGAUCCUCUAAGAUCUUAGGAUAAUUGUUGUAAUCUAGAAUAUCCUAUCUAUGAUUCUUUCUCUUCAUGUUGAAUAUAGGAUUUUGUACAAUUCCAGAUUUCAUGGGAUUUAGAUGAUUCUACUCAACAAUCUCCUAUGUAUAUAAAGCCAUGUAUAUGACAAAGAAAUGUGUGAAUGAAAUUAUUCAAUUAUCUUAUUCCACAGAGAGAAAACAUGCUUGCUUCCCCCCUACAAUCUAAUUAGUUAUAGAAAUUCAUGUCCUAUUUGCUCUAUAUUCCUUGGGUCUAAGGUUGAGGGGACUAGUGAUAGGAACUGUGAUGAAGAAGAAGAGAUCAGAAUGAAACUUUAUUGGUUAAAUAAAAUGCAAGAAUCUUAAAGACUGCAUUAACCAAUAACUAUGUCCGUAUGGACUAUGGAGUGGACAAAUCUUCAGAUACAAAGAUAAAUAUAAUCCUUUUUCUGCCAGAAUUCUUCUAGAUACGCAUAUUUGAACUAAAACAGAAAGAUAACUCCCAACAAAUAGAUUAACAGCUACUGCUGUAGAUAACUGCUGGUAACUACUAUAUGUAGCUGCUACUUAUAUAUUUUAUCCUAUUUGAAACCAA